rnacentral:rRNA from 1 species
GACGGAGGAUGCAAGUGUUAUCCGGAAUCACUGGGCGUAAAGCGUCUGUAGGUGGUUUAAAAAGUCUACUGUUAAAAAUUGAAGCUUAACUUCAAAGAUGCCGUAGAAACUUUUAAACUCGAGGAUGGUAGGGGUAGAGGGAAUUUCCGGUGGAGCGGUGAAAUGCGUAGAGAUCGGAAAGAACACCAACGGCGAAAGCACUCUGCUGGGCCGACACUGACACUGAGAGACGAAAGCUAGGGGAGCGAAUGGG